rnacentral:rRNA from 1 species
CCGCGGUAAUACCAGCUCCACUGGCCUAUACAAUCAUUGUUGCGGUUAAGAGGCUCGUAGUUGGAUUGAACUGCCAUGAAGAAUGAAUCUUAACACCUUUCUACUCUUUGUGUCAACAGUUUUACGUAUAUGUUUUGGGCUUAUAGUUCAUUUCAUAUACGUUCGACGCUGUUAUAAGAAUUUUGCUUACGCAUAUACGAUUUUUACACGGCACGUUAGCAUACACGCGUAUAUACAACCUACACAUACACACCCACAUUUCGUUGUAUAUACCGUGUGUGACACACGCAGCACUUAAUUUCAGAAAUGUCUUUUCGUUUGCAUUUGUGUGUGAGACACACUUUGGAGCAUUUAUUCUCAUUUCAACACUGUGAACAAAUCAGAGUGUAUCAAACAUGUCGUUUUUGAAUGUGCAUUGAAUGUCUUAUCAUGGGAUGUUGCGCACUUUCAGCCUUUUAGAAAGAAGCCUCUCAGCUUUUUUCUCUCUCUCACUCACACAUACACACACACACACACACAUCGUGAGGAGGCAAAUACUAUAAGCGUAUCUUUUUUUCUAAAACGGUUAAAAAUGUCGAUGGGGAUAGUUGGAGUCAACAGUACUGCUGGGCGAGAGGUGAAAUUCAUUGACCCUAGCAAGACUACCAAAAGCGAAAGCAGUUGGCUAGGCUAUACUCUUUGUGAUUGUAUUACGCUAUUAGUAUCUCUCACACACACACACACACACACAUGUGGUAACACUAAUUAUGCGUAUAUACAUUACACUUUACAAUGAAGAACGAAGGUUGGGGGAUCAAAGAGGAUCAGAUACCCUCGUCGUCCCAUUUUUUACAUCAAACGAUGGGCUCUCAAUUGCAAUUUCUAUAUAGAAUUGUAAAUUUCCUCAAACUGCAAAAUAACUUGGCUUGAGCUCGUAUCAUUCUUGAUACGCUCGCCUCACUUUUUUCGUACGGUCUCGACGGACGUUUCAUUUUAUCAUUUUCUUUGCGUGUAAGCAUUAUGUAUUUAUUCCUUGAAACAUAGGAAUUACAUUGCGUGCACUUGAUUUUCGGAGCUUUGCGCUCAAAUUUCUGGUGAGAUGUAAGCACUGUGUUUCUCUGCCCGCAGCGUAUGACUAUCGGUCAUUUCGUUCUGUCGUUUGGUAGUUUAACAAUCUUGGUGUGAAGCACGCUUUAGGCACGCGCUUACUGCAGAAAUGUCUGAGACAUUCCCCUCCGGGGGUAGUAUGCACGCAAGUGUGAAACUUGAAGGAAUUGACGGAAGGGCACCACAAGAACGCGUGGAGCAUGUGGCUUAAUUUGACUCAACGCGGGAAAUCUUACCGGGUCCGGACACACUGAGGAUUGACAGGCAAUAUUAAAUACUACUAACUAUACUCGUAUAUGUCUGUUGUAUUUAUGUUAAAUAUGCUAGUCCUUUCAUGAUUAUGUGAUAGGUGGUGCAUGGCCGUUCUUAGUUCGUGGAGUGAUCUGUCUGCUUAAUUGCGUUUCACUAAGGGCCUAUACAUUUACGUGUGUUGCGGCACUUUGACCCCUCUUAUUCACGUAAGAGCGCGUGUCUUAGUUUUUGCUUAGCUCGCACAAUUAGGUCCUGAAAGCAACGAACGUGACCG